AGUUUGAUCCUGGCUCAGGAUGAACGCUAGCUACAGGCUUAACACAUGCAAGUCGAGGGGCAGCAUUUUAGUUUGCUUGCAAACUAAAGAUGGCGACCGGCGCACGGGUGAGUAACACGUAUCCAACCUGCCGAUAACUCGGGGAUAGCCUUUCGAAAGAAAGAUUAAUAUCCGAUAGUAUAUUAAAACCGCAUGGUUUUACUAUUAAAGAAUUUCGGUUAUCGAUGGGGAUGCGUUCCAUUAGUUUGUUGGCGGGGUAACGGCCCACCAAGACUACGAUGGAUAGGGGUUCUGAGAGGAAGGUCCCCCACAUUGGAACUGAGACACGGUCCAAACUCCUACGGGAGGCAGCAGUGAGGAAUAUUGGUCAAUGGACGAGAGUCUGAACCAGCCAAGUAGCGUGAAGGAUGACUGCCCUAUGGGUUGUAAACUUCUUUUAUAUGGGAAUAAAGUAUUCCACGUGUGGGAUUUUGUAUGUACCAUAUGAAUAAGGAUCGGCUAACUCCGUGCCAGCAGCCGCGGUAAUACGGAGGAUCCGAGCGUUAUCCGGAUUUAUUGGGUUUAAAGGGAGCGUAGGUGGAUUGUUAAGUCAGUUGUGAAAGUUUGCGGCUCAACCGUAAAAUUGCAGUUGAAACUGGCAGUCUUGAGUACAGUAGAGGUGGGCGGAAUUCGUGGUGUAGCGGUGAAAUGCUUAGAUAUCACGAAGAACUCCGAUUGCGAAGGCAGCUCACUAGACUGCAACUGACACUGAUGCUCGAAAGUGUGGGUAUCAAACAGGAUUAGAUACCCUGGUAGUCCACACAGUAAACGAUGAAUACUCGCUGUUUGCGAUAUACAGUAAGCGGCCAAGCGAAAGCAUUAAGUAUUCCACCUGGGGAGUACGCCGGCAACGGUGAAACUCAAAGGAAUUGACGGGGGCCCGCACAAGCGGAGGAACAUGCGGUUUAAUUCGAUGAUACGCGAGGAACCUUACCCGGGCUUAAAUUGCAUUUGAAUAAUCUGGAAACAGGUUAGCCGCAAGGCAAAUGUGAAGGUGCUGCAUGGUUGUCGUCAGCUCGUGCCGUGAGGUGUCGGCUUAAGUGCCAUAACGAGCGCAACCCUUAUCUUUAGUUACUAACAGGUCAUGCUGAGGACUCUAGAGAGACUGCCGUCGUAAGAUGUGAGGAAGGUGGA
rnacentral:rRNA from 1 species